CAACCAAUUUCACCUUCCAGACUUCCCAGGAUCAUUACUUUUUUUAUUAAGCAACACAUUUAACCUUUUUUUGUCAUGUUGAGAAGAAGUCUUCGCCUGCUGCGAGCAGGCUAUUACAAUGCGGAUGGAAGUCCAACAGUUUCCUAUAAGGAGAGAUUGUUCAAGGUUUUUAAGAGACGAAAACAGAACAAAAUACCUCCAGUUCACCAGGAGGAAAUGAAUUAUGAGUUGAUGGACAACCAAGAACAACUGGAGAGGUUUACUAAAACCGAAGAAUCAACACAUUUCAACUCCAUCUACAGGACAGACGUUAUAGUUGCAUCCAACACCAAAAGACGUGUUUUAACUACAGUCAAGGAACAGUGUAUUACAACUACAGACUGUUCCAGCACUGAUAGGCAACGAGAAAUGACGUAUAAUGAACUCUCGGUGAUCAAAAUAACUGACAGGACAACAGUUGUUGAGCCAAGACGUAGCAACACUCUUGGCAAUAUAUUGAAAUGUUUCCUCGUCUUGUUUCUUCUGGUGUUUGGAUUCACACUGUAUACACAAUACCCAUAGACGGUCCAGCAGGAGGUGCAGAAAGAGUGGAUAAACAUGUUUAAUCCCCUGGUAGGCAUGAUGCCAAACUAUUUUAAAUGGCACGGGUGAGUCAUCUUCAUCAUCUUUAUAACCAUUCAACAACACAGAUGCCAGGAGCAUCUGAAAUUCAAACAAAAUGGCAAAUGGGGAUGCAUGGAUAACUCCUACCUUGAUAGUUUCAGGGUUCAAGGUAAGUAUAGAAGGUCAAUCAAUUGUUUCCCUGGCGGAAAUCUCACCCGGUCACUCCGGGGAGGUAACAACCUGAUCGGCACCAUGGAGCGUCUGGCUAAACUCCAGCAACCAUCCACACACGUCUUAGGGCCAAAUAUCC